rnacentral:rRNA from 1 species
CGCGGCCUAUCAGCUUGUUGGUGGGGUGAUGGCCUACCAAGGCGACGACGGGUAGCCGGCCUGAGAGGGUGUCCGGCCACACUGGGACUGAGAUACGGCCCAGACUCCUACGGGAGGCAGCAGUGGGGAAUAUUGCACAAUGGGCGCAAGCCUGAUGCAGCGACGCCGCGUGGGGGAUGACGGCCUUCGGGUUGUAAACCUCUUUCAGCUAUGACGAAGCCUUUCGGGGUGACGGUAGUAGCAAAAAAAGCCCCGGCCAACUACGUGCCAACACCCGCGGUAAUACAUAGGGUGCGAGCGUUGUCCGGAAUUACUGGGCGUAAAGGGCUCAUAUGUGGUUUGUCGCGUUGUUCGAGAAAACUCACAUCUUAUGUGUGGGCGUGCGGGAGAUACGGGCAGAGUGGAGUACUGCGGGAGAGACUGGAAUUCCUGGUGUAGCGGUGGAAUGCGCAUAUAUCGAGAAGAACACCGGUGGCAAAGGCGGCUCUCUGGGCAGUAACUGACUCUGAAGAGCGAAAGCGUGGAGAGCGAACAAGAUUAUAUACCCUGAUACUCCACGCCGUACACGGUGGGUACUAUGUGUGGGUUUCUCUCCGUGAUAUCCGUGCCGUAUCUAACGCAUUAAGUACCGCGUCUGGAGAGUACAGU